rnacentral:lncRNA from 1 species
AAAAGUGUUUCAACUCAUUUUUGGAAUAAAAUCAGCUGUAGUCUAAAUGCUGCUCUAGUCCUAAGACAUUUUAAAAUCAAGAACUGAAAGGAUCAAACUGUUUCCAAGUAACUUAGCUACAUAUCAGAACAAAGCUCAAAAAUAUUUACAGUAAUACAAAAAUACCCAACCACCCAAAGAUAAAAUUCAAAGUAUAUGGCAUUGAAGCCAAAUUACCAGACAUCAAAGAAGAAGGAAAAUAUGAAUCACAAUGGGGAGAAAGAGUCAAUUAACCAAAACAACCUGGGACUGACACAGCUGUUAGAAUUGGCAAUUAAGGACAUUAAAACAGUUAUUAAAUUAUAUUCCCUAUGUUCAAAAACCAGUGGAAAUAUUGAACAAGUAUAGACAUGGAAGUUAGAAAAUAGACUCAAAUAGAACUUCUAGAGAUGAAAACUACAAUGCCUGAGAUGAAAAAUACACCAGAUGGAAUUAUCUGCAGAUUAGACAUCACAGAAGAAAAUGUAAUAAAGCUGAAGACAUAACAGUAGACUUAAUCUAAAAUGAAACGUAUACAUAAAAAAGAAAAAAAAUUGAUCAGGGGAUUAUUGAGCUGAUGGACAACUUCAAGAUGUAUAAAAUAUAUACAAAAACAGAAGAGAGAAAAGGAGAAUAGAAAAAAGAAAUACUGAUUGAAAUCUGAUAACGUGAGCUGCCACCACAGCGUGACCACUAAGAGAUGAGCGGUGUAGGUCCACACCCAGGAACUGGACCUGGGCUGCAGAAGCGGAGCGUGCCGAACUUAACCACUAGGCCACCGGGGCUUGCCCUAUUCAGGUUUCUAAUCAAUGCAGACAGUAUAACUUUCUCUUUAUUUAGGUCUUCUUCAACAAUGUUUUGUGGUUUUCAGUGUUCGGGUCAUAUACAUACUUCAUCAGAUUUAGUCCUAAGUAUUUGAGAUUCUUUAAGGCUAUCAUAAACGGUGCUGAUUGUUUAAUUUUGAUUUCCAAUUGUCUGUUGCUGUUGCAUUUUAAUAUGAUUUAUUUUUGUAUGUUGAUUUUAUAUCCUGCAGCCUCACUAAACACACUUGUUAGUUCUUACAGUAUUUUUUGUAGAUUCCAUUGAAUUUUCAACAUAGAUGAUCAUGUUAUCUUAUGACAGUUUUACUUCUUUUUCAAUUUAGAUACCUGUUGACGACACAAAGACAGACACGCAUGGAGGGAAGACGCUGUGAAGAUAUAGGGCAAACACAUCUACAAGCCAAGGAAUGCCUGAAGCUACCUGUAGCUAGGAGAGAGGCAUGGAGCAGCUUCUCCCUCACAGCCCUCAGGAGGAACGAAUGCUGCUGACACCUUGAUUUCAUACUUCCAGCCUCCAGAACAGUGAGACAAUAAAUUUCCAUUGUUUAAGUCACCCAGCUUGUAGUUCUUUGUUCUGGCAGCCCCAGGAAACUAAUACCCUCUAUCGGGUUGAGAAGUUCUUUUAUAUCCCCACUUUUCUGCAAGAUUUGUCAAGAAUGGAUGUUGGAAUUUGGCAAAUGCUUAUUCCCUAUCUAUUAAGUUGAGCAUAUGGUUUUCUUUAUAUUUUGACAAUCUGUUUAAUUGUAUUAACUGAUUUUUAAAUGUUAACCCAACACCGUAUUCCUAGGGUAAAUGUCACUUGGUCAUGAUGUAUUUUCCGUUUUAUGUAUUAUUGAAAUAAAUUUGCCAAAAUUGUGUUUACUAGGUAUGUGGUAUGUUGCAUAAUUCUGAAUUAGCUCAACAUUUUUAUAAGAACUGCAGGAGAUAAGUUGCUAAUUCAGAAAUUUGUUUGUAUGGCUGAAAUGUUAUUAAUGUCUGUGCAUGUGUCAGCAUCUAUAUGCUUGUAGAAAGGAUUGGCAGGUGUGCAGGUCUGGCAGUGCUAUCCCUGUCCGUAACACAGUCUGACCCCUGG